CACUCCCUCGUUCUCCUCCCAUUCCUCCCACUCUCUUAUCCACACUACAGAACAUCAGAUGCCAGCGUUGGGCAGGCGGGGACGGCGGCGAAGGCCUCCGGCGGUCGGAGCAGGUCGCCGGGCGUGGGGAUGGUGAGCGGCAUGGCUAGGCUCCAGCGACCGCGGGCAUCUCCUCCACCGCACCCCCACCAUGGACGGCCGGCCCCGAACUCCUUCGACGCCGCAUCCCUGCCAUGGACGGCCGGUCCCCAAAUCCUCCGACGCCGCAUCCUUGCAGGUCAUCCAACGCUGCAUCCCUCGCCAUGGACGCCCGGCCCCAAACUCCUCCGCCUGGGACCUUUGGGUAGGCGGGAUGGGCUCAAGGCCGCGGUGGUGGCCGGAGGAGAUCCGGUGGUGCCUCGGUGGUAGCGGCAGCGAGGGCGUGGCACUGGCUAUAGGGGGCGCUCCAUGCGGGAUCCUUCCCGAGAGCGAGGGGCUGCUGAGGCUCUUCGGCUGGUCCCGCCGCUCAUGGAGCCGCCCGCCUCCGAGUCCUUGGUGGCACACUCCCCAUCCAUCGCUUUCGGAGCGGUGGGGAUGACGGGUCGCUGCCUGCUGACGGUGAUGGCGCGUGCCUCGACGACGGGCCGACGAGGACUCGAGCCGCCGUGCCAUUCAAGCCCUCUUCGGCUGCUCCGACCGCCUCGACCAAGCGGUCAUGGUCGCAGCGGCCGCCGCCCAGAUGAUCGCGCUUGUCGUCUACGUCCAGCUCUUCAGCGUGGCCAUCAACUCGCUCUCAUGGUCACCAGCUAUCUGAACCAUCAAGCAGGAAAAAGGCCGGGCCCGGUUGGUGGGGGCGUUCGGGAUGAGGCGUUCUCCUCCCGAACGAGCGUACUCGUUCGAUCGAUCCUCCUCCCGUCCCGAACGUGACGUUCGGUCUGGGGUGCUCCCAGACCGAAUGGUCACACGUUAUCGGGGUAUAUGUGUUAAUUCACUGAACUGGUCUAAAACAAACAAAAAAAGUCAAAUUCCUUUAGCAUGGGACCUGCUAGUGAAAUUUUCCAAAUACCCAUUUUGACAGUAGCAUGGCAAUUUUUAUAAGUAUGUACAUCAUGGCGUUUUUAGCUC